CGUGCCUAAUACAUGCAAGUAGAACGCUGAAGAGAGGAGCUUGCUCUUCUUGGAUGAGUUGCGAACGGGUGAGUAACGCGUAGGUAACCUGCCUUGUAGCGGGGGAUAACUAUUGGAAACGAUAGCUAAUACCGCAUAACAAUAGGUGACACAUGUCAUUUAUUUGAAAGGGGCAAUUGCUCCACUACAAGAUGGACCUGCGUUGUAUUAGCUAGUAGGUGAGGUAACGGCUCACCUAGGCGACGAUACAUAGCCGACCUGAGAGGGUGAUCGGCCACACUGGGACUGAGACACGGCCCAGACUCCUACGGGAGGCAGCAGUAGGGAAUCUUCGGCAAUGGGGGCAACCCUGACCGAGCAACGCCGCGUGAGUGAAGAAGGUUUUCGGAUCGUAAAGCUCUGUUGUAAGUCAAGAACGAGUGUGAGAGUGGAAAGUUCACACUGUGACGGUAGCUUACCAGAAAGGGACGGCUAACUACGUGCCAGCAGCCGCGGUAAUACGUAGGUCCCGAGCGUUGUCCGGAUUUAUUGGGCGUAAAGCGAGCGCAGGCGGUUUGAUAAGUCUGAAGUUAAAGGCUGUGGCUCAACCAUAGUUCGCUUUGGAAACUGUCAAACUUGAGUGCAGAAGGGGAGAGUGGAAUUCCAUGUGUAGCGGUGAAAUGCGUAGAUAUAUGGAGGAACACCGGUGGCGAAAGCGGCUCUCUGGUCUGUAACUGACGCUGAGGCUCGAAAGCGUGGGGAGCGAACAGGAUUAGAUACCCUGGUAGUCCACGCCGUAAACGAUGAGUGCUAGGUGUUGGAUCCUUUCCGGGAUUCAGUGCCGCAGCUAACGCAUUAAGCACUCCGCCUGGGGAGUACGACCGCAAGGUUGAAACUCAAAGGAAUUGACGGGGGCCCACACAAGCGGUGGAGCAUGUGGUUUAAUUCGAAGCAACGCGAAGAACCUUACCAGGUCUUGACAUCCCGAUGCUAUUUCUAGAGAUAGAAAGUUACUUCGGUACAUCGGUGACAGGUGGUGCAUGGUUGUCGUCAGCUCGUGUCGUGAGAUGUUGGGUUAAGUCCCGCAACGAGCGCAACCCCUAUUGUUAGUUGCCAUCAUUCAGUUGGGCACUCUAGCGAGACUGCCGGUAAUAAACCGGAGGAAGGUGGGGAUGACGUCAAAUCAUCAUGCCCCUUAUGACCUGGGCUACACACGUGCUACAAUGGUUGGUACAACGAGUUGCGAGUCGGUGACGGCAAGCUAAUCUCUUAAAGCCAAUCUCAGUUCGGAUUGUAGGCUGCAACUCGCCUACAUGAAGUCGGAAUCGCUAGUAAUCGCGGAUCAGCACGCCGCGGUGAAUACGUUCCCGGGCCUUGUACACACCGCCCGUCACACCACGAGAGUUUGUAACACCCGAAGUCGGUGAGGUAACCUUUUGGAGCCAGCCGCCUAAGGUGGGAUAGAUGAUUGGCG
rnacentral:rRNA from 1 species